rnacentral:rRNA from 1 species
AUUGAACGCUGGCGGCAUGCCUUACACAUGCAAGUCGAACGGCAGCACGGGUUCUUGCACCUGGUGGCGAGUGGCGAACGGGUGAGUAAUACAUCGGAACAUGUCCUGUAGUGGGGGAUAGCCCGGCGAAAGCCGGAUUAAUACCGCAUACGAUCUACGGAUGAAAGCGGGGGACCUUCGGUCCUCGCGCUAUAGGGUUGGCCGAUGGCUGAUUAGCUCGUUGGUGGGGUAAAUGCCUACCAAGGCGACGAUCAGUAGCUGGUCUUAGAGGACGACCAGCCACACUGGGACUGAGACACGGCCCAGACUCCUACGGGAGGCAGCAGUGGGGAAUUUUGGACAAUGGGCGAAAGCCUGAUCCAGCAAUGCCGCGUGUGUGAAGAAGGCCUUCGGGUUGUAAAGCACUUUUGUCCGGAAAGAAAUCCUUGGCCCUAAUACGGUCGGGGGAUGACGGUACCGGAAGAAUAAGCACCGGCUAACUACGUG